AGAGUUUGAUCCUGGCUCAGGAUGAACGCUUGCGGCAGGCUUAACACAUGCAAGUCGAGGGGCAGCAUGAAGAUUGAUUUAUCAAUUUUUGAUGGCGACCGGCGUACGGGUGCGUAACGCGUGAACAACUUUCCCUUGUCAGGAGGGUAACCGGAGGAAACUCUGACUAAUACUCCAUAACAUUAUGAGGAGGCAUCUUUUUAUAAUCAAAGAUUUAUCGGACAGGGCUGGGUUCGCGUGACAUUAGCUAGAUGGUAAGGUAACGGCUUACCAUUGCUACGAUGUCUAGGGGUUCUGAGAGGAAGGUCCCCCACACUGGAACUGAGACACGGUCCAGACUCCUACGGGAGGCAGCAGUGAGGAAUAUUGGUCAAUGGACGGAAGUCCGAACCAGCCAUGCCGCGUGAAGGUUAGGGCCCUAUGGGUUAUUAACUUCUUUUUUUAGAGAGCAAUAAGUUCUACGUGUAGAGCGAUGAGAGUAUCUAAAGAAUAAGCAUCGGCUAACUCCGUGCCAGCAGCCGCGGUAAUACGGGGGAUGCGAGCGUUAUCCGGAAUUAUUGGGUUUAAAGGGUGCGUAGGCUGUUUUUUAAGUCAGUGGUGAAACCCUACUGCUCAACAGUAGACUUGCCGUUGAUACUGGGAGACUCGAAUACGGUUGCCGUGGGAGGAAUGUGUGGUGUAGCGGUGAAAUGCAUAGAUAUCACACAGAACACCGAUUGCGAAGGCAUCUCACGAAGUCGUUAUUGACGCUGAUGCACGAAAGUGUGGGGAUCAAACAGGAUUAGAUACCCUGGUAGUCCACACUGUAAAACUAUGAUAACUAUUUGCCGGCGAUAGAUUGUCGGUGAUCAAGCGAAAGCGAUAAGUUAUCCACCUGGGGAGUACGGCCGCAAGGCUGAAACUCAAAGGAAUUGACGGGGGCCCGCACAAGCGGAGGAACAUGUGGUUUAAUUCGAUGAUACGCGAGGAACCUUACCCAGGCUCGAACGGCAGAGGAAUUGUGAAGAGAUUCACAAGUCUUCGGACUUCUGUCGAGGUGCUGCAUGGUUGUCGUCAGCUCGUGCCGUGAGGUGUCGGCUUAAGUGCCAUAACGAGCGCAACCCUUGUCGCUAGUUGCCAUCAGGUUAAGCUGGGGACUUUAGCGAGACUGCCUUCGUAAGAUGUGAGGAAGGGGGGGAUGACGUCAAAUCAGCACGGCCCUUACGUCUGGGGCGACACACGUGUUACAAUGGUUGGUACAGAGGGUUGCAUGCUGGUGACAGUUUGCCAAUCUCUAAAUCCAAUCUCAGUUCGGAUUGGAGUCUGCAACUCGACUCCAUGAAGUUGGAUUCGCUAGUAAUCGCACAUCAGCCAUGGUGCGGUGAAUACGUUCCCGGGCCUUGCACACACCGCCCGUCAAG
rnacentral:rRNA from 1 species